GUCGUAACAAGGUCUCCGUUGGUGAACCAGCGGAGGGAUCAUUACCGAGUUUACAACUCCCAAACCCCUGUGAACAUACCUAAACGUUGCCUCGGCGGGACCCGUCUGCCCCGUAAAAAAGGGCCGGCCCGCCAGAGGACCCCAAACCCAACUGUAUUUUAUACCCUGUAUCUUCUGAGUCAAACAAACAAAUAAUCAAAACUUUCAACAACGGAUCUCUUGGUUCUGGCAUCGAUGAAGAACGCAGCGAAAUGCGAUAAGUAAUGUGAAUUGCAGAAUUCAGUGAAUCAUCGAAUCUUUGAACGCACAUUGCGCCCGCCAGUACUCUGGCGGGCAUGCCUGUUCGAGCGUCAUUUCAACCCUCAAGCCCCCGGGCUUGGUGCUGGGGAUCGGCAGGGCCCGCAAGGGCCGCGCCGGCCCCGAAAUCUAGUGGCGGUCCCGCCGCGGACUCCAUUGCGUAGUAGCAACACCUCGCAACUGGAAACGCGGCGCGGCCGAGCCGUUAAACCCCCAACUUUUCAGAAUGUUGACCUCGGAUCAGGUAGGAAUACCCGCUGAACUUAAGCAUAUCAAUA
rnacentral:rRNA from 1 species